UAAGAGGCUUUUAUAAAAGCCAUGUUUAGAUACCUUGAAUCAUUAU
rfam:Physcomitrella patens subsp. patens PHYPAscaffold_459 genomic scaffold, whole genome shotgun sequence.